ACCAACCCGCGUUAGGGAUUGUAGUGGAAAUCCUUUUUGUGAGGCACGAGCAAAAAGAUUGGGAACGGAAAGCCCGACCUGAA
rnacentral:sRNA from 1 species